GGUCAAGCUAAUAAGAGCAUAGGGCGAAUGCCUUGGCACCAGAAGCCGAUGAAGGACGGGGUAAGCACCGAUAUGCUUCGGGGAGCUGCAAACAAGCUUUGAUCCGAGGAUCUCCGAAUGGGGAAACCCACCUAGAUUUUCUAGGUAUCAUCUACUGAAUACAUAGGUAGAUGAAGGGAUACCAGGGGAACUGAAACAUCUAAGUACCCUGAGGAAAAGAAAGAAAACUCGAUUUCCUAAGUAGCGGCGAGCGAAAGGGAAACAGCCUAAACCUAUUGAGUUUACUCUUUAGGGGUUGUGGACCAGCAUUUAAUAAGUUCUUCUUGUAACUGAAUGACCUGGAAAGGUCAACCGUAGAAGGUGAUAGUCCUGUAAGUGAAACUAGUUGACUUAUUGCUGGUAUCCG
rnacentral:rRNA from 1 species